GCACUACGAUCUUCUCUUGCUCGUGUUGUUGACUCUACGUUCCCGAGAGCACACUACGAUCAUUGACUUAUAAACUUCACGUUUCCUUCAGCACACUACGAUCGUGGAGUUAGCUUGGUGAACGUUGGGACCACUCUAUGAUUUUUGAAGAGUCCCCUUUCAAGGCAGGCACACUACGAUCUUCAAGCUCUACGUUUUCUGCCUUGACUUCUGCAAUGUUGAUCAGAUUGAUGCACUACGAUUUCUUCAAGACUAAUCUAUUACAUCUCAAGAUCAACCUAACAGUUUUGAUCUUUCUAUCUAUACAUUCUAGAACGGAAUGAUACACGUUGAAAGCUUAGAUCAACCUAACAAUUUUGAUCUUUUACUAAGUCCUUGUACAUAUAUUCUUUAAAGGACCUUACAAAUAAUCAUGAACACAUGCAUUAAAACAUCAAAUCAUAAUAUGCAUUCUCCUAACAAUCUCCCUCUAUUUGAUGUUGACAUAACCAAGGAGAUUUAUUGUCAUGAUUAUUAGUGACUAGAUGCAUUUGCAGGAAUUUAAACAUGACUUAGUAUUUCAGUGAGCAGCUGAAAUUUCUAGAGAAUAAGUAUGAAUUUAUUGAUGAUCAGAAGAUAUUACAAUAUAGCAUUACAUCAAUAAAACAUUAAACUCUUAACUUAUCUCUGCUUUCUUGGUCUCUUGUGUGGAGGUGGAUUUGCAUACUCCUCAUCCCUUCUCUUCCUUUGAGCUUCCUCAUUUUUUGCUAACUCUUCCAGCUCACUUAGACUUAGAACUGUAUUCUCUUCAUGUUUGCACAUGAAUGCAGGAUCUCCAGUUGGCAUUCAGAUGCGUACAGUAGUCACAUUUUGUGAACUAGGAGUUGGCUCCUGAUGACUAAGAGGAAUAGCUGAUACAAUUGCCUGCUGACCAGAUCGUUGAGUCUGAUGAUGUGAUGGUCUUGCAGGAGGGCUUCCCCUUUCUUGAAUUGCAUGACCUCCUCUGUCUCUUCCUUGGCUUCCGUGAUCUCCUUUCCCUUUCUUAUUCUCCCCCUUUAUGUCAGCAUCAAGGGUUCAAAUAUCGACAGACAACCUAUUUACUCCUUGGACAAGCUCGUUGAGUUGGCUUUGAGUUUGAGCAAUGUCCUCCCUAUUCUCUUUGAUCUGUUUUUUAGCUCUAGCUUCUUUGUUUUGGAGGACUGUAAGAAUCGUAUCAUUAUCCUUCUCCUGAUUGGCAUAAGAUUUUUGGAACUCAUAAACAGAAGCUUUCAGGUUGAGAAUAUUGUCCAGCAUAAUUUGAUUUUGACGAUCUUGGUUUUUCUGUAUCUCAAGCAUAGCCUCUCUUUGUUUGGCAGCAACCUGGAAAUGGAUCUCAUCUCUGUCUGAUAUACUCUUCAGAAUUUCUUUGAUAAUUUCCCUUAGCUUCGUAGUGAGCUCAGUAUUCAUUGUACUAGGGAAUUUGUUUGCAGCUUGUAUCAUUUGAUUCAGUCGGAUGUUCAGAAGGUCAGAGUGAGAUUCCAGGCUUGCUUCGAUGGACUUAAUCAUUUGCUCAGAAGUUUCUUUUAGAUCAUCCUUGGUGGGCCGGCUGGGGAAAGUAUCAGUUGAUUGAGGAUUGUCCAUUUGAGGGGUUCUUGGUGGAGAUUGAGCUUGCAAGUUGUACAAAGCAAGAUCAAGACUGAAAUAGUCGUGCGAUGAGGAGGAUGGUAUAUCAGUUGGAGGAGCUUGGGUUUGGACAUUUGGGAUUGGUGACUCUACGAUUUUAAUGUUUGACUCUACGAUUUGCCUUGAGUCUGGAAUUGUAGAGUUGGUUAUUUGAGGGAGCAGGGUAAGGUUGAUUUCUUCUGGUUUUUCAGUUACAGAAUUUUGGGAUUCUGCAACUGGAAACUGAUUUAAUGGGUUAAGAAUCACUUCCAGCCAUUUAGGAAAUUCAUAGAAUUGGCUAAACGAAGAUGAUGGCAGGUGAUUAACUCUAAAGCUUGUAGGGAUAGUCAAUACCUCAGGUUUGGCAUUUGAUGAGGAAUGGUCUGUAAUCAGCUUUUUGGCGAAGAUGACUUCCCCUGGAAAUCCGUGAGCCAGAACUGUGAUUUCUGGAUAUUCCUUGAAGCUCCAGUACAUGUGGUCCCAUGAUUUCAUAAUUUGAGCUCGAUGGUAUGCCAUCAUGGGUAGGUAAGAGAAUAUCUGAUUGUAAAGAUAACUUUUAUAUCAAUCAUUGCCCUCAUAAAUGAUUUGUAGGUCAUCAUCAUCUUCUUCCUCUUCACUAUCCCUAUUUGAGGAUUCCAUUAUCUCAAUGGCCUCUGGAAUGUUUGGCAUUGGUUCAUCUUCAUCUUGAACAAGUACCUCUUCUUCAGCUAUUGGGAUAUUGUGAGGCUCCCCCUCAAUAUGAUCAUCUUCUUGGAGGUUUAGAAACUCCCCCUCAGCUGGUACAUCUUCUUCUAUGUUCAGAAAGUCCCUUUCAGCUAGAACCUCUUCUUCAUCAGUAGGCUUCUCCCCCUCAGCUGGUGUAUACUCGAUCAUGAGAAUUUCAGAGUUCUCCCCCUCAGCUGGAGCAUUUUCCUCUUCGGUUGCUUGGGGCAGUUCUACUUUUGCAGCCAUGCUCUUGGCUUCCUUCUUCAGUACUUUCUCAUUCUCAAGAAUAUACUUCUUGACCAGCCUUCUCUUUGCUUUGCUGGUUUUAGUCACCACUUCUGGACUCUCUUGAGUCUUUGUUUUGCCUCGUUGAUCAGCCACUUUCCUUGAAGCAGUUUCCUCCAUUUCUACCACACUUGGCCUAUUUUCAGAGACAGCAGAGUCUCUAUGAUUGAAGACACUGUUGGUCUUUUGGACUUAUGACCAGUCUUGUUCUUCUUUACGAUUUGUGAAAUGGUGGCUUGAUCUUCUUCAGCUUCUUCUUGUUGUUGCAUCUUCCUUAGCCUCCUUAGAGUCUCUAUGUCAGAGGACUCUGCAGGAAUGUUAGUUGUUGAUCCUUGAGACUCUUCAACUUGUCUUGCUCUCAGCUUCCUUUUUCCCUUGCUUUUUCUGGCAAGGGUAGAGGGUUCUCCCUUGUCUGCUUCUCCUUCUCCUUCAACUUCUUUGACAACAGACAUUCCUCCUUGAAAGCCUGUUUUAUUUUGUUCCUCGGAUCUCCCACUUGACUCUGUCAUCAUUCGAACGAACUUAGCAGGGUUCCUUUCCCAGUUUUUAAACAACUGUUGUGUCAUUCUUCGGUUUGGGUUGAUGGCUUCUCCUUCAUUAUCCCCAAUUUUGUCACCCAAUUCAGAUUGCAUAAUGAUGCUAAUGAACCUCCCAUACAGCAUCUUUGGGGUGCUCUUUGAUUUCUUCGAGCUUACGAUCUGAUUGCCGAUCCAUUCGAACAAUACAACCCCAUAGUUGAGUUGAGUUCCAUAUACUAUAGCUGUCAUGAGCUUAAGUUGAGCCUCAUUUACUGAGUCAUGACCUGAGCUCUUGCAGCAGAUGCAUUUCCCAAUAAUGUCAGCCAAAAAUUCAUACCUCUGAGGGAACUCCUUCUUUUUGUAGCCUUUCACAGAGGGGUUCUUCUUGUGAUGCAUCUUCUUCAGUCCCUCUUGAAAUCUUAUGCUAUCUAGAAAUGGAUUCCCCAUAUUCUUGAAACCUACGGCCAGAUUGACGUCUUCUUCCCCUAGCUUUAUUUCAACUCCACUAACUCGUGUGGUGAUGGUGUUGUUUUCGUACACUCCAUUUUUAUAGAACUCCUUCACCAAUUUAGGAUAGAUGAGUGUAUCAGUGCUGAGCGCCUCUUCGAGACCUGCCUUCUUUAGUAAGGCUAAGAUCUUGUGAAACUUUGGUGGAGCGAUUUUGAAUUCGUCAAAACAGAGUCUGUAGCCCGAAAUCACAUUAGAAGCAGCCAUUGAUUCUUUAGUUGAGAAGAGAGAUACUGCUGAGCUUUUGUCUGAGUUAGGGUUUUGCUUUGAGAGAGAGAGAAUGAGAGAUAAUCUUUUGAACUUCAGAUUUUAAAAUCACGGUUCCAAUUUGUACUUGUAGCUUCCCUCUCCCUUUUUGACUUAGUGGGACAGGUGUUGAAUUUUGCUUGGCUCUACGAUUUUGACUGUUUAGGAAUGUACUGAUUUUCCCUUUGAGUCUUCAGUGCUGAGAUGUCCUCAGGAUGACUAUGAUCGUACAGAUAGUCUUCUGAUUAUUGAGUCGGUUCUCCAUUCGUAGAGUAUGUCCUACGAUCGUUGAGUCUGUCCGGCAGUUGUUGAGUUUGAUCAGCAUUCGUAGAGUCUGUCUGUCGAGUCUAUCCGGCAGUCGUUGAGUCUGAUCAGCAUUUGUAGAGUCUUUCCUGCGAUCGUCAAGUCUGUCCUACGAUCGUCGAGUCUGUCCUACGAUCGCCAAGUCUAUCCUACGAUCAUCGAGUCUGUCCUACGAUUGUCGAGUCUGUCCAGAUCCUAGUGAUGAGUUUUUUUUUUGACUAAGCAUUCUUUUUAAGGUAACUCAGGAAAGGCCAACCUCUUGGUGUGUUUCAAGGGUUAGGUUUAUCCCUGAGGCACCUCUUAGAGAGAUUGCUUUGUUAUAAAGCUUGUCAUCAUAGGAUUCACUUUGCUUGUUGAAAGGGCUUUUGGUCAUCGUCGAGUCUGCACUUAUGAAAGUUGAGUCUUUGCUGCGAUCGUUGAGGUAGUUGACUGUUCAGCUCUACGAUCGUGAUCUUUCCUUUAUCAUGUCUACGAUUUUGAGUGCAGCCUUUAUAUCUGUCAUGGUUAGCACAAUCUAGAGCAUAGAUUCAAGGUUGAAGAUUUAGCAUGCCUAGCUCACUUAUUAACUUGUUAAAUCUGGAUUCAUCUAAUGGUUUAGUAAAAACAUCAGCAAGUUGAUUUUCAGUAGGGAUAUAUUGUAAAGAAAUAGUUCCAUUUUGCACAUGAUCCCUAAUGAAGUGAUACCUUAUCUCUAUAUGCUUGGUUCUAGAAUGCAUAACAGGAUUAUGAGUUAUUGCUAUGGCACUUGUAUUAUCACAGUGUAUAGGUAUAGACUUGAAAUCAAACCCAUAGUCAGCUAGCUGAUUUCUCAUCCAAAGGAUCUGAGCACAGCAGCUUCCAACAACAAUGUAUUCAGCUUCUGCAGUUGAAGUGGACACUGAGUUUUGCUUUUUGCUGAACCAAGACACAAGUAUGUUCCCUAGUAAUUGAUAAGUGCCACUGGUACUCUUUCUAUCUAUUUUUCAUCCUGCAAAGUCAGCAUCUGUGUAUCCUAUUAGUUCAAAAGAGGAUUCCUUGGGAUACCACAGCCCCAAGUAGGGUGUACCCUUAAGAUACAUGAAGAUCCUCUUUACAGCAGACAAAUAUGACUCUUUAGGGUUAGCCUGAAAUCUAGCACAUAUGCAUAUUGCAAACAUUAUAUCUGGUCUACUGGCAGUUAGGUAUAAAAGAGAACCUAUCAUACCUCUGUAUUGAGUUACAUCAACACAUUUACCAUUCUCAUCCUUGUCAAGCUUGGUUGUAGGAGCAAUUGGUGUUUUCAUGGGAGAGGUUGAUUCCAUGCCAUACUUCUUUAAUAAGUCUUUGAUGUAUUUUGCUUGGUUGAUGAAUACUCCUUCAUCAGUCUGCUUCACUUGCAGUCCAAGGAAGAAAUUCAGCUCACCCAUCAUGCUCAUUUCAAACUUGCUCUGCAUUAGCUUAGAGAAUCUCUUACAUAACUUUUCGUCAGUAGAACCAAAAAUGAUAUCAUCAACAUAUAUUUGAACUAAUAAGACUUUGUCCUUAUGCUUUCUAAGAAACAAUGUGGUAUCUACUCUACCUCUAGUGAACCCAUUUUCUAUUAAGAAGUUAGUCAGUGUUUCAUACCAUGCUCUAGGUGCUUGUUUAAGACCAUAUAAAGCUUUAUCUAAUCUAUAGACAUAAUUGGAAAGAGAUGGAUUGAUGAAACCUGGAGGUUGUUCUACGUAGACUUCUUCUUGAAGCUCUCCAUUUAGGAAUGCACUCUUGACAUCCAUCUGAAAGACUUUGAACUUCAUGUGAGCAGCAAAGGCAAGAAAGAUUCUGAUAGCUUCUAGUCUGGCAACAGGUGCAAAUAUCUCCUCAUAGUCAAUGCCUUCUUCUUGAGAAUAGCCCUUUGCCACUAAUCUUGCCUUAUUUCUUGUAAUGACCCCAUCUUCAUCCAUUUUGUUCCUGAAGAACCACUUGGUUCCUAUGACAGGAUGACUCUUUGGUCUUGGUACCAAUCUCCAUACUUUGCUUCGUUCAAAUUGGUUGAGUUCUUCCUGCAUGGCUUCUAUCCAACUGGAGUCUUCCAUAACAUCUUCUAUCUUCUUUGGCUCUAUCUGUGACAGGAAGCUUAGGUAGAAGCAUUCAUUCUGAGUAGUAGCUCUUAUUUUGACUCUUGCACUUGGAUCUCCAAUGAUUAGAUCCUGAGUGUGAUCUCUUGCCCAUCUGUUCCCGGUUGGGACAUCUGUUCUGAUGCAUUCAUGUCUUAAGUCUUCAAGGUCUAUCUCUUCUUCUUGGAGUGGAGGCUCGCUGUCUUGAACGGACCUCUCUACGAUCUCAUUAUCACGCUCUACGAUUUCACUAUCUGGCACUACGAUCGUAGUGUUUAGCUCGACGACUUCAUUUGUAGUGUCUGCACUAUCGGUCAUAGUGUCUUGAGGCACUGUUUUGUCUAAGUCAGUUUCAUCAAAGAUGAUAUGUAUUGAGACUUCGACACUCAGUGUCUUCUUGUUGAACACUCUGUAAGCUUUGCUGUCUGUGGCAUAUCCAAGAAAGAUCCCUUCAUCUGACUUGGGUUGGAAUUUUGUCAGAUACUGCUUUCCGUUGUUGAGAAUAUAGCAUGCACAGCCAAAGACAUGGAAAUAGCUAACACUUGGCUUUAUUCCUUUCCACAGUUCGUAGGGUGUCUUCUUGAUCGUAGAGUGAAUUAAUGAUCUAUUUUGUGUGGAGCAUGCAGUGUUGACAGCUUCUGCCCAUAAGUAUUCAGGCAGAUGGGCUGCUGCUAGUAGAGUCCUUCCAGCCUCUAUCAGGGUUCUGUUCUUUCUUUCAGCAACUCCAUUUUGUUGAGGAGUUCGUGGAGCUGAGAAGUUAUGACUGAUGCCAUUGUCUGUGCAGAACUGAUCCAUUUCUGAGAAAUCGAAUUUCUGCCAUGAUCACUCCUUAUGGCCUUGAUUUUCUCUCCUUUUUCGUUCAUCACCAUUUUGAACAUCUUGAUUAAUUCGGAGCUUGUCUCAUCCUUUGAAGUUAGGAAGAAUACCCAUGUGAAUCUAGUGUAGUCGUCGACUAUGACUAGAAAGUAUCUUUUUCCUCCAAGACUGGUUGUUGGGAUUGGCCAAAAGAGAUCCAUGUGGAGCAACUGCAGGGGUUUGUCAAUGGAGUUGGCAGUCUUGCUCUUGAAUGAGCUUCUGGUUUGCUUUCCAAGCUGGCAGGUAUUGCAUGGCCUUUCCUUCACAAAGUUGAACUUGGGUAGACCAACUACGAGAUCUUUUGAAGCUAGUUUGGACAUGCUUUUGAAGUUUAAGUGGGACAGUCUUCUAUGCCAUAGCCAGCUCAUUUCCUCGGAUGCUUUUGCCAGAAAACAUAUUGUUUCAUCAGAGCUUAGUUGACCAAGGUCUAUAGUAUAAACAUUUCCUUCUCUUGUUCCGGUUAGCUUUAUGGCAGAUGUCUUCAGAACUUUGACUUGACAUUGAUUGUUGAGAAAUGUUACAUGAUGACCCUUGUCGCAGAGUUGGCUGAUGCUUAGAAGGUUGUGUUGAAGUCCUUCCACAUAGGCUACUUUGCUGAAAGAUAUUGUACCAUUGCCAGCAGAGCAAUAUCCUCUUGUCUUGCCCGAGCCGUUAUCUCCAAAGAUGACUGAGGGACCCUCCUUUUCUACAUAGUUAGAUAGCAGAGCUUUGUUCCCUGUCAUAUGCCUUGAGCAUCCACUGUCUAGAUACCAUGUUGAGGUCGUGGAGCUCUUUUCCUGUCAAAACAUUUUAACCUUCAUUUUGGUACCCAUAUUUGCAUGGGUCCUUCUGUGUUAGUGCCUUUGGGAACCCAAACUUGUCUAGUCUUGGGUCUCACAUGCAUGGAGUUAUAAUAACACUUUGUAGCUUUAUGACCAUACUUAUCACAUAUGACACAUCUAUUAUGAUGUAUGCCUGUGUGUGUGUGUGAUUCAUCCUCCACUUGGACUUGUGUGGUUCCUUAGUUAGCCUUCUGUUGAACUGAUUCUCUUUCUUCCACGUGUCCUUAGGUUUCAUAAAUAGUGAUGAGUGAGACUUACCUCUACUGUACCUUCCCAGUAGAUUCGUAGAGUUAGUUUUUCUUGACUCUACAAUUUUUCGAGGUUGGUAGGUAGAGGUUUGGUUACUCUUCUCCUUUAUGAAACCCAGACCAGCAUGUGAUCCUUUACUUCUCUGAGUAUAACUAGAAUCAGUAGAACAAGGUUGAACUGGUUCUUCCAACUGUGAGGAUUUAACAAAAGUAAUACCUCUACUAAAGCCUGAGACAUUACCAGAGCUAGUUUCCAUUCUCUUUUCCACACUUAGCUCUGAGAUGGAUUCCCCAAAGCCUAAGCCUGUUCUGUCGAAUGUGCUUCUCUGACUAGAGAGCAGGCAGUCCAUGGAUGAUGAGGAUCUGUUCCAUGCAGAGAUAGUCUUCUCUAGAUCCUCAAUUUUAGAGGUUAGCUUAGACUCUCUUUGUGCAUGAUGUGUGUUUGUCUGUUUUAAAGUUUCAUUCUCAGCUUCAAGCUUGGAGAGAAGAUUAGUACUUAGAAGGGCUGUUUCAAGCUCUUCUUGAACUUUCUUCUUCUCCUCUUGAAGAAGUGAAUGAUCUUUAGACAAGACUCUGAACCACUUCAUGUAUUGAUGUAGGUCAGUGGUUAUGCCAUGCAAAGCAGUUCUUAAGUCACUUAUAUCUACAUCAGGAGAAUUAAAAUCAAAUACCUCAUCGAUACUUACAUCAUGUAUGUUUAGGCUUUGUUUGUCCUUUGCAUGUUUGGCCAUUAAGCACAGAUUGGCCAUAUGUGGUUCUUCCUCAUCUCCGGAGUCUGCAUUUGAGUCAUUAUCUGAAUCACUCCACGAUCCUCCGGCAACCAGGCCUUUGUCUCUUUUCUGAGGCCUCUUGGUUCCUUUGUAUUCUUUCUUUGCAUGAGAUUUCUUCUUUAGUUCUUCUUUGAUAGGCUUGUUGCAGUUGGCAAUGAAAUGACCAGGUUUCUUGCAGUUGUAGCAUAAAUCAUUCAUUUGUUCCUGGCUGACGUAGUUGCUGACUUUCUUUGGCUUGCCGGUUCUGCCUUGUCGCAUGAACCUUCUUAGUCUCUUUACCAGCAUAGCAAAGUCAUCGUCAUCGUCUUCAUCAUCAUCAGAGUCAAUCUCAGUUAUGACUUUUGAUACACCUUCAUUUGCCUUGAGAGCAACACCCUUAUCCUUUCUUCUUCCUUCUGAUAAGGUUUCGGCGCGUUGGGUCAACUCCAGUUCGUACGUCAGGAGAUUUCCAUACAGUUGUUGAACUGUCAUCUCAUUAAGAUUCUUUGAUUCUCUUAUUGCUGUGGUCUUUGCAUCCCACCUGCUCGGUAGGGCUCUCAUGAACUUUAUGGUUAGAUCCUUGUUAGGAUAGAUCUUCCCAUACGCUCGUAGAGAGUUGAGCAGAACGUUGAAUCUUUCAUAAGUUGCAGUCACGUUUUCUCCCUGCACAUGAGCGAACAUUUCAUACUGCUGUGUCAGGAGAGACUGCUUGUUCUCUCUGACUUCUUCAGUUCCUUCGUGCAUAAUCAGCAGUGCUUCCCAAACUUCCUUAGCUGUUUUGCUGUUUACAACAUUUUCAAACAGAUCGUCCUCUAAGGAUUGGAACAGGAUGUUCUUUGCCUUUUUAUCAAGUUGGACAGCUCUCUUCUCUGUGUCUGUCCAUUCUUCUUUCACUUUGAUUUGUACUCUGUUUGGAUCGUCAAUGGUUGGUGCAAGCUUUGUUGGUAUAUAGGGCCCAUUAAGAACAGUCUCAAAUAGAUCUUCAUCUAUUGAGUCCAUGUAAGCUUGCAUCCUGACUUUCCAGUUAGCAAAUUUAUCCUUGUUGCACAUUGGUGGCUUGCUGCCUCCCCCGGUCCUGGAUUCGCUUGGUACGAGUGCCAUUUGGAUCUACUAAAGCGUGUAAGCUGUAAAAUAGAACCUGCUCUGAUACCAAUUGUUAGUUCCUAGUAGGCACAAGUUAUCUAGAAGGGGGGGUUGAAUAGAUAUUUGAAAAUCUUUUCGUUUUAACUUGUUCUUAGAUAAUGAUUAAAACUUUGCGGAAUUAGUAUUUGUUUUAAUCUUCUUUACCAAGCAAUGGAGUUAUGAGCGAGUAAGGCAGUUAUAGCAGAUAUAGCAGUUAUAGCAGUUAUAGCAUGAAUGUAAAUGACACAGUUGUUUUUAAGUGGUUCAGAGCACUCAAAGCUCCUAGUCCACUCUUCUACUCAACGAGUAGGAUAUCCACUAAGGAUGUCUUUUACAAUCUUCUGAAUCACACAGAUUCCUUCUAGACCAGCAGUCUAGGAACUUCUCUAGUUCACUCUUGAACUCUUCAAGUCCAGCAGACUUGGCUUUCUUACAGUUCACUACGAACUCUUCAAGUCCAGCAGACUUGGUACUCUUCUUCAGUUGAUUGAUGGUUGUUGUUGUUGCGUUCUGAAGGUUGCUACUCAGUUUGCUGUGUAAGCACUGGUUCGUUAAGAACUGAGUAGCUGAGCAAGCUUUUCAAUAUCUCAGAUCGUAGAGUUGAGCCUUAGAGAAUUCUUCACGUUGAAUGUUUGAUUGCUUGCUUUUUUUUCUCUCUCAUCUGUCUGAUCUGUAUAUAUGUGAUGUUGAAAACUAUCCGUUGGAUCCAUCCGUUGUGGCAUUAAAUGCUUCUGAACUUUCUGUGCUGCGAUGGAGACAUUUCUGCACAUCUCUGAAUUCUGCAUUCUGGCUCACUGACACUGCAGGCUGCUUUCUCACCUACCACCUGAAAAGGUGUUUUGUCCCUCUUAUCCAUAGUACUAUCCUUAGCUUCUUCAAUACGCUUCUUUGUUGCAUACUAAGGAUAUUUCAUAUAUUCUGGGACUGAUGAGCACUGCAGCAUCUGGGAUCCAUUCCUCGUAUGUUGAAUUAACAACUCAUGAGGCUUGACGUUUUCUGACAUGAGACAGAUGAUGCUCUACGAUUGGAUCGUGAUGUUCUACGGUUAAGAUCGUAGUGGCUUUGACUUGCAUACUACGAUGCUAUCAGUCAAGAACACUACGAUUUCUCAUAAACUUUCAUGAACUACGAUCUUCUCUUGCUCGUGUUGUUGACUCUACGUUCCCGAGAGCACACUACGAUCGUUGACUUAUAAACUUCACGUUUCCUUCAGCACACUACGAUCGUGGAGUUAGCUUGGUGAACAUUGGGACCACUCUACGAUUUCCGAAGAGUCCCCUUUCAAGGCAGGCACACUACGAUCUUCAGGCUCUACGUUUUCUGCCUUGAUUUCUGCAAUGUUGAUCAGAUUGAUGCACUACGAUUUCUUUAAAACUAAUCUAUUACAUCUCAAGAUCAACCUAACAGUUUUGAUCUUUCUAUCUAUACAUUCUAGAACAGAAUGAUACACGUUGAAAGCUUAGAUCAACCUAACAAUUUUGAUCUAUCACUAAGUCCUUGUACA
rnacentral:lncRNA from 1 species